rnacentral:lncRNA from 1 species
AACUGGAGCUAAUCUCUUGUUUCUUACUUUUCCACCCCUAGGUGAAAAAAUCACAAAUGAAAUUUCAAGGAAGAUUCUAUAUAAAUCCUGAUCUUGAAAUAUUUUUGUCAGCCUAAGAAGUUUGGACUUUACCCUGAGGGCAAAGAAAUGACAAAUGAGAUCAUGCCAGCUGCAAUGUGAAGACCAGAGUGAGUAGGAUAACACUGGAGGCAGUGGUACUAUUGAGACAUGGAGGUGAGAAGAAAUGGCUUGAACUAGGGUAGAGGAAGAGAGAAUAGAAAGAAUUAGAUUAUCGGAGAGAAAGUUAGAGGAACAAAUUAAGAGAAUAUCAAGAGAAUUAAUAGGACUUGGUGACUGACUGGAUGGGGUGAGCCUGGUGAAUGAGGAGGGGAAGUUGGGGUUGACGGUCAGGUCUGACUUGGGCAAAGGGGUGUGUAGUGGUAUGUAUACAAAGGUUGAGAAUAUAAAAGGGGCCGUGAGUGUCUAGCAGUCAAGCUUCUAGGCCUGCUUGCUACAUUCUAUAGAUUCAUGUACUAGGAAACAAUGAGCUCAGAUAGAUAGUUUAUUAUUCACUUUCUUUUUUUUUUAUUAGUUACACAUGACAGUACAAUGAUCUUGACAAUUCAUACAUUUGAAUCAAAUGGGGUAUAAUUUAUUAUUCAAAGCAAAGUAGGCACCAGGAUCUUCCUAUUUGUGUAGUUUCCCCAAGUCUCAUGAUUCAGAAUGAGACUCAGGUAGAUGUUGGGCAUACAGUGUAUCUGUGACCUCCCAGUCUUAUUAGGUUAAGAGCAAGUUUGCCCAACCUUUGUCAUGGAGGGUUACCUAGUUGUUGUUAUCCAGUCAGGAAAUAAGCAUGUCCUCUGACCCAGAAUUUCUGGUUUGAGACAUUCAAACAUCAUGGACAAUUACCUUCCAAUAUCAGCUUUGGACAUAGUCAAUUUGGAAUAUCCAUGAUAUCUACAUAAAGAUACCAGCAGAAGUAAACUUUUUAUAGAACUAUUCAGUGUGUUUAUAGAAUUGAGAUGAGAAAUAAAAUCUAUUAACUUUGACUAUGUUAAAAUGAUAACGUGAUAGUCUUUGUAAUAUAGUUAUAGCAAGUGUUUACUGUGGUGCCUAAUCUCUAUGAUACUUACAUAAGAUUUAUUAUUUUAUUCAUUCCAAACUGAAUUCACCUAGGCUUAAGUCUUCUGUUGCUUGUGAAGUCUGAUGAUCUGAUAAUAACCUCAAACAAGAAAGAAGAGUAGUGGCAGGAUAUUUACACAGCUUUACAACUGUGACUUUUACCUGCUUUACUCUAGAGUAGCCCUCCCCAGAAUACAUAAAAUGCUAGCACAAAUGUGAACCAAAUAUAUAAUUUAAAUUUUUCUAGUAGCCAUGUUAAAAAAAUAGUAGAAACAGGUGAAUUUAAUGUUAAUAAUGUGUUUUAUUUAUCCCAAUAUAUAAAAAUAUUAUUUCAACUUAUAAGCACAUAAAAUUAUCAGAGAGAUAGUUUACUUUUUUUCAUACUAAAUCUUUGAAAUCUGAUGUGUAUCUUAUGAUUAUGGCAUGUCUCAAUUUGGAUUAGAUAUAAUACAGGUGCUCAAUAGCUAUAUAUGGUUACUGGCUGCUAUAUCCAAUAGUGUAGGUCUAGAACCUCAAGAACAGUACAUUUUAUUUCCUCUAUCUGGUGAAUAUCUUCUUUGUAUGUUAGAAUUUAAAAUUCUAUGGUAUAUAUUUUUUGUCUUAAGUAGUUGGGCACUAAGAACAACUAACUAUAAUGAAGAAAACAGAUGUCCACCGAAUAUACAUGGCAUUUUUAAAAAGGGAGAUUAUGAGUUUUACUGAAAAUUAGCUAGAUAUUCACGUGCCUAAAAUAGUUAUCUUGGAAGGUAAAUUAGGCUAAAGGGCAUAUCACUGUAAACUAACUACUCUAAGAUUUCACUCAGCAGAGAAGGUAGCCAGAAGAGUUAUUGUUUAGUAGUUCAUCAUUUACCCUUAAAGAAUAAAUUAUAUUUUAAUAGAAUUUGUCCCAUUACUUUAUAUGAUGAGGUGUCGCACCAUUUAUGACUGGUGAACAUUUACUUAUUUACAAAUGCAUUGACUCUGUAACACAGAAGCACCUCAAAAACUUUUAAGAUUUCUAUUAAGUAAUUUAAUGAAAAAUAGGCAUUGAAGGAAAAAGUUGCUCUAUGCGUCUUCAAUACAGAAAGUAGACAUAAUAUGACUUUGAAGGUCUGAAGUACGCUAGUGGUCUUAGAAAAAGGCUAGUUACACAAUUUGAGAGACUUAGGAAUUUCUAAGGUACAUGGUGAUAACUUACUGAGUUUGCAUUAAAUCCUAGAAUUGGCCUAUAUUUCAGCGAGGAGAGCUUUAACCCUAAUCGAUGAAAUGCAGUCACAUUGAAGUGGAUAUUGAGGCAAAGUACUCACGGAAAAGUGAGUUUCUGAGCUGAAUGUGUGAAAUAAUUUGACUACUUGUAAAGCCUGUGGCUCUCUCUUUGUUAAUGAUUAUUAUCCAUGAUUUUUUUUUGAAGUUUCUUCUUCUAUAUAUAUUUUUUAAGGCUUGGGAAAAACAAAUGGAGUGUUGCUAGUUUAAAAUAAAGAAACUUUUCUUUAAGAGUGUUCCAUAUGAAAAACUAAAUGAUUCUGCUUUAUCCUUAUUUAUUAAUGUUUUUAUUUAGGAGCAAUUAGCUUUAAAUAAUAGAUGAAUUCUAUAGCAAAGUGAUGGAAAUGGAUGUGAUGUGGGUGAUAAUACAAUAAAGAAGUCAGAAAGCAGCAGAGUGUGUAUCAUCUACUUCAUUUCUAUAAUCCAGAAGUACUCUAUAUACAUUAUUACAUUAGGAAGUUUGUCAAUCAACUACAAUAAAACAAUCUAGUAAGGUUUAGUGUCUUAUUUCUGACUUAAUCAUUC